AUACGGAGGGUGCAAGCGUUAAUCGGAAUUACUGGGCGUAAAGCGCACGCAGGCGGUCAAUUAAGUCAGAUGUGAAAGCCCCGAGCUUAACUUGGGAAUUGCAUCUGAAACUGGUUGGCUAGAGUCUUGUAGAGGGGGGUAGAAUUCCACGUGUAGCGGUGAAAUGCGUAGAGAUGUGGAGGAAUACCGGUGGCGAAGGCGGCCCCCGGGACAAAGACUGACGGUCAGGGGCGAAAGCGUGGGGAGCAAACAGGAUUAGAUCCCCUGGUAGUCCACGCUGUAAACGAUGUCGAUUUAGAGGUUGGGGUCUGGAACCGUGGCUUCUGGAGCUAACGCGUUAAAUCGACCGCCUGGGGAGUACGGCCGCAAGGUUAAAACUCAAAUGAAUUGACGGGG
rnacentral:rRNA from 1 species